rnacentral:rRNA from 1 species
AAUGAACGCUGGCGGCAUGCCUAACACAUGCAAGUCGAACGAAACCUUCGGGUGUAGUGGCGCACGGGUGUGUAACGCGUGGGAACCUGCCCUUAGGUUCGGAAUAACUCCCCGAAAGGGGUGCUAAUACCGGAUAAUGUCUUCGGACCAAAGAUUUAUCGCCUUUGGAUGGGCCCGCGUUGGAUUAGCUAGUUGGUAGGGUAAUAGCCUACCAAGGCGACGAUUCAUAGCUGGUCUGAGAGGAUGAUCAGCCACACUGGGAGUGAGACACGGCCCAGAAUCCUACGGGAGGGGGCAGUGGGGAAUGGAGGAAAGUGGGCGGAAGCAUGAACCAGCAAUGACGGGUGAGUGAUGAAGGCCUGAGGGUAGUAAAGCUCUUUUAACCGGGAUGAUAAUGACAGUACCGAAAGAAUAAGCCCCGGCUAACUCCGUG